AAGUAAUAGAGUGAAGAUUAUUCAUCUCAUUCAAUUCUUCUUCACAAUUGGCUUCUAAUCUAUGCCAUAUAUAAAAUCUGCAGAGACUAAUACCAUACACCUAUUCAAGGUUCAAAUAAACAAAAGCGUCUGAGUAACCUAUCGCGCUAAGGAAAGAGAAUCGUUGUCUUAAGUAGCAAAACACUGCAAUCAGGUUGAGCUGAUGUGAUGAUGGUGCUGCAAUGAGCGGAGUCUCCAGGGUUGUUAAUAAAUAGUUAACCUGUCUAGAAUAUGUCUUCAUACAUAUGUCUAGCUACUUUCCGCUGCAAGAUGUUGUUGAUGUUAUAGUAUGUUAUGUCAUACUUUGAGUCUUAAGAGAAUGGUUUCAUAUGAUGUAUAACUUGAUUAAUGAUA